UGCUUAUCGUGUGUUACUUGUGGGCGUGCGUGAGUUUCGGCCUCGCUGUUUGCAUGUUUGUGCGCUUUGGGUGUACUUUUUCGUAUGGUUGGCCAACAUCAGUUUCGAUUACUAUAAAAUGACUGGCGGAAUGUAGCUUCGAUUUCGGUUGAAGUGUUAUAGCCUCUGGUAGAUGUGGUGAUUGAGACUGAGGAUUGCAACGAAUAUCCUUUGGGCUAUCCGUCUGGCCUCUGAAAGUUGCUUGGGUGCUGAAAGCUUGCUUAUGGUUAUCUAAGUUAACGGUCAAUAGGUUAGAACGUGAUUACAUUCGUUAAGGAUGUUGACGUAA
rnacentral:rRNA from 1 species